rnacentral:lncRNA from 1 species
AGAUCAGGGUGGGGCCGAACAACUAAAGAUCCUCCUAAGGUGGUCCUUGACUCCGAAGUUGAUGUUGAAGCUCUUCAAUUUUGCAUCAUUUUAUUUUUUUGUUGUGCUUUGGACUUGUAACCAAAGUGAAUGUAACACGAAUCUUUUUGCUUAAUGAAAAGGAUUUCAUCUUUUGUACUUUGCUGCUGCUUUGCUUUUUGGUUGCAUGAAAUUCUUAAGCCUUGGAGACCAUAGCCAUAUUUCAGUACAUAACCAAAAUGAAUCUUGUUCUGGGAAGAAAUUGAAGUCUGGUUUAGCCUUUCAAAGUUAGUUGUCGAAGUGAGCUAAGGUU